rnacentral:lncRNA from 1 species
CACCUUACAACGCUUCCAAUUGCUUGUAGACACUUGCAAUCAGGCUCCCGCGGCACACGUCGCCUGGUUCGGCUCGAACUCAAAAUCGAGCACCGAACGCUUACCGAUUUUCAACCUAGAGUUGUCUGGGGCUCUCCUCUAUCCUUCACGUCCGGUUUGCACCAACCAACCUUACAACGCUCACCGAACUCCCAUUUUCACGUCCGGUUUGCGCCGAAAACACUCGAAUGCUCCCUGAACUUCACCGGAACUAUUUU